rnacentral:rRNA from 1 species
GCACAGAGUUAGCCGUCCCUUCCUCUUUCGCUACAAUCAGCUCUCCAGCUAUUAACUGGAAAGGUUUGUUCGCAAAUGACAGGGGUUUACGGGCCGAAGCCAUUCAUCCCCCACGCGGCGUCGCUCCUUCAGGCUUUCGCCCAUUGAGAAAAAUUCUCGACUGCUGCCACCCGUAGGUGUCUGGACCGUGUCUCAGUUCCAGUGUGGCUGGUCGUCCUCUCAGACCAGCUACCCGUCUUAGCCUUGGUGAGCCGUUACCUCACCAACUAGCUGAUAGGCCGCGGGCUUAUCGUGAAGCGUCAGGCCUUACGGUCCCCAACUUUGAAAUUCGGAAGAUGCCUCCCAAAUGUCACAUUCGGUAUUAGCUCGCCUUUCAGCAAGUUAUCCCCAACUUCACGGCAAAUUACCCACGUGUUACGCACCCUUGCGCCGCUCCAACAACAGAAUAUUGCUACCCUGUGAUUAGCGCUCGACUUGCAUGUCUUAUCCACGCCGCCAGCGUUCGUU